UACAGAGGGUGCGAGCGUUAAUCGGAAUUACUGGGCGUAAAGCGUGCGUAGACGGUUAUCUAAGUCGGAUGUGAAAGCCCCGGGCUCAACCUGGGAAUUGCAUUCGAGACUGAAUAGCUAGGGUGCGGUAGAGGGAAGCGGAAUUUCCGGUGUAGCGGUGAAAUGCGUAGAUAUCGGGAGGAACACCAGUGGCGAAGGCGACUACCUGGCCUGUUCUUGACGCUGAGGCGCGAAAGCUAGGGGAGCAAACGGG
rnacentral:rRNA from 1 species